rnacentral:lncRNA from 1 species
GUGCAGUGCAUGGAGGUUCGCCUGGCCCUUGCUGCUCCCCGAGGGCCCGGGGAACCACUUGGAGAAUCUGGUCUCCAACCAGCCCCUCACUAGCUGUGUGAAGUUGAGCUCAUUUACUCCCUCUCUGAGCUUCAGUCGCCUACCUCCCUCCUACAACAUGAGGGGCUGGAUCAGACAGGGGGCAGCAAGCUCCAGCGCCUUCAUAGAUCAGGUAAGGAAGACUCCAUGGUGCCAUGGUGGGGAAUGGUGGGGAUGUGUGGAAGUGAGAGAGCCAGCUCUCUACAGGCCAGGCAAGACCCACCUGUGGGCAGGGCCUCCAGUUUGCAAUCCUGGACUCUGUGAUUUCUGAGGAUAGAGUCCACUGAGAUCUCAUAGGUCAGACCAUAAGGACAGUACAUCCCAGGGCAAGGGUGGCAUGGGGUGGGACUAGGAACCUCCUUGGGCCGGGUAUUCAAUUUGCAUUUUUCUUCUUUAACCAUGGAAUUGAACUUGUUCUCUCCCCAGUAAUCAGUGAAUCCCUGCACCCUUGUACCCUUGCACCCUUGCACCCUCCUGGGGCAGCCAUUUCUCAAGCUAUGUGGGGAAGGACUGCAGGGAGCAAUGUGGCCCUGGGUGCCCUGACUGAGAUGACCUUGACCAUUCAGGCAUCCUCUAGCAGACUUUCUGGAUGUGUUUCCAGGUCGUUGGGCCUUAAGGAAAUACCACUGGGCCAGAUGGGGCAGCUGCUGUGACACCAUUGAUGUCCCCGGCAGGGAGCCGCUUUUUCCAGCAUCCCAGAAACUGCCUGAACUGUGCUGUAGGCAUGAAUCCCACUCCCUGACACCCUCCUCUGCUCCACUGCAUCCUAAAUUGCAACCCAGCCCUUUCUCAAUGGCUGUCUUGGUCUCCCAUUCCAGCACAGGCUCCACUUAUGCUGCCCUCCUGCUAACUGCUCCCAAUCCCCUUCCCAUUCCCUGGAUUCCAAAUGGAGCCAGGAAUUUAAUCUGCCCUUAAAAAGGCUGUCCUUGUUUUGAAUUCGAUUGGAA